rnacentral:rRNA from 1 species
CCUACGGGCGGCUGCAGUGAGGAAUAUUGGUCAAUGGCCGGAAGGCUGAACCAGCCAAGCCGCGUGAAGGAAGAAGGUGCCAAGCAUUGUAAACUUCUUUUGUCAAGGGACAAAAUCAGGCUCGAGAGCCUGACCGAGGGUACUUGAAGAAAAAGCAUCGGCCAACUCCGUGUCAGCAGCCGCGGUAAUACGGGGGAUGCGAGCGUUCGCCGGAUUUAUUGGGUUUAAAGGGGGCGUAGGGGGGCUGUUAAGUCAGCGGUAAAAGCCCGGGGCUCAACCCCGGCGAGCCGUUGAAACUGGCUGUCGUGAGAGGUCGAGAGUGAUGCGGAAUGCGCGGUGUAGCGGUGAAAUGCAUAGAUAUCGCGCAGAACCCCGAUUGCGAAGGCAGCGUGCCGUGCCGCCACUGACGCUGAGGCACGAAAGCGCGGGGAUCGAACAGGAUUAGAUACCCGAGUAGGC